rfam:Methanobrevibacter millerae strain SM9, complete genome.
AGUCCUAUGGUGUAAUGGCAAUCAUACGAGUCUCUGGAACUUGUGACUCCGGUUCGACUCCGGAUAGGACUA